rnacentral:rRNA from 1 species
GCAGUCGAGGGGCAGCAUGGUCUUAGCUUGCUAAGGCCGAUGGCGACCGGCGCACGGGUGAGUAACACGUAUCCAACCUGCCGUCUACUCUUGGACAGCCUUCUGAAAGGAAGAUUAAUACAAGAUGGCAUCAUGAGUCCGCAUGUUCACAUGAUUAAAGGUAUUCCGGUAGACGAUGGGGAUGCGUUCCAUUAGAUAGUAGGCGGGGUAACGGCCCACCUAGUCUUCGAUGGAUAGGGGUUCUGAGAGGAAGGUCCCCCACAUUGGAACUGAGACACGGUCCAAACUCCUACGGGAGGCAGCAGUGAGGAAUAUUGGUCAAUGGGCGAGAGCCUGAACCAGCCAAGUAGCGUGAAGGAUGACUGCCCUAUGGGUUGUAAACUUCUUUUAUAAAGGAAUAAAGUCGGGUAUGGAUACCCGUUUGCAUGUACUUUAUGAAUAAGGAUCGGCUAACUCCGUGCCAGCAGCCGCGGUAAUACGGAGGAUCCGAGCGUUAUCCGGAUUUAUUGGGUUUAAAGGGAGCGUAGAUGGAUGUUUAAGUCAGUUGUGAAAGUUUGCGGCUCAACCGUAAAAUUGCAGUUGAUACUGGAUAUCUUGAGUGCAGUUGAGGCAGGCGGAAU